GCAAGUCGAGCGCGCCCUUCGGGGUGAGCGGCGGACGGGUGAGUAACGCGUGGGAAUAUGCCCUUCUCUAAGGAAUAGCCACUGGAAACGGUGAGUAAUACCUUAUACGCCCUUUUGGGGAAAGAUUUAUCGGUGAAGGAUCGGCCCGCCUUAGAUUAGGUAGUUGGUGGGGUAAUGGCCUACCAAGCCUACGAUCUAUAGCUGGUUUGAGAGGAUGAUC
rnacentral:rRNA from 1 species